rnacentral:rRNA from 1 species
UACGGAGGGGGGCUAGCGUUGUUCGGAAUUACUGGGCGUAAAGCGCACGUAGGCGGCUUUGUAAGUUAGAGGUGAAAGCCCAGGGCUUAACCCUGGAAUUGCCUUUAAGACUGCAUCGCUAGAAUCGUGGAGAGGUGAGUGGAAUUCCGAGUGUAGAGGUGAAAUUCGUAGAUAUUCGGAAGAACACCAGUGGCGAAGGCGGCCUGCUGGGCAGGUUUUGCUGACACUGAGGCGCGACAGCGUGGGGAGCAAACAGG